rnacentral:rRNA from 1 species
AGCGAACGCUGGCGGCAGGCUUAACACAUGCAAGUCGAGCGGGCACUUCGGUGUCAGCGGCAGACGGGUGAGUAACACGUGGGAACGUACCCUUUGGUUCGGAAUAACGCUGGGAAACUAGCGCUAAUACCGGAUGCGCCCUUUUGGGGAAAGGCUUGCUGCCGAAGGAUCGGCCCGCGUCUGAUUAGCUAGUUGGUGGGGUAAUGGCCUACCAAGGCGACGAUCAGUAGCUGGUCUGAGAGGAUGAUCAGCCACACUGGGACUGAGACACGGCCCAGACUCCUACGGGAGGCAGCAGUGGGGAAUAUUGGACAAUGGGCGCAAGCCUGAUCCAGCCAUGCCGCGUGAGUGAUGAAGGCCUUAGGGUUGUAAAGCUCUUUUGUCCGGGACGAUAAUGACGGUACCGGAAGAAUAAGCCCCGGCUAACUUCGUG